UACGGAGGGGGCUAGCGUUGUUCGGAAUUACUGGGCGUAAAGCGCACGUAGGCGGACUUGUAAGUUAGGGGUGAAAUCCCGGGGCUCAACCUCGGAACUGCCUUUGAUACUGCAAGUCUCGAGUCCGGAAGAGGUGAGUGGAAUUCCUAGUGUAGAGGUGAAAUUCGUAGAUAUUAGGAAGAACACCAGUGGCGAAGGCGGCUCACUGGUCCGGUACUGACGCUGAGGUGCGAAAGCGUGGGGAGCAAACAGG
rnacentral:rRNA from 1 species